GCUUGACUCAAGUUCAACUCAAAUUGAAGAUAUACAAGAAACGGCGAGAGCGGAACCACUUUGCAAAAAAUUUGUCCACUUGGGGUAAUCCCGCUGCCCAUCUUUUAAGUAUCGUCCUUUUCAGUUCGGCACAACCGCUUCUAAUCAUACCACUCACAACUGUAAACAUACAUAUAAGCAGGAUGCUCAGGUCUAUCACAUCAGCCGUGUCAAAGCACUUACCCCACUAGCAUUUAUGCCUUCAGGACGCCCGCCGUUUCCUCCGGACUCCCCUCGAAUUGAUCCUCCACCGCCUGCAGUCCAUCUGCGGAAAUUUUCCUGUGACUCCUUGAGAUCGACCUGCAAGGAUUCGUUCUUUUUUUUUUUUUUUGGCGUGAGAUUUAUCGCUGUAAGCGAGAAGUUUGUUCAUCUCUUCCAACUCUGAAAUUUUAUCCUGCAAUUUCCCCUG
rnacentral:sRNA from 1 species